GUUAAUAUCGACUUGCACGUCGAUGCUAAGGCAACCGACAGGAGCCAUAAGGUUGUCUUUAAACUAACGUUUGUGUUUGCAGAUGCGUUUACUAUAUUGCUAGGUCGUAGCUUUAGUAGUAAUAGCAUAGAUAACACGACAACCUCGAUGGUGACACGAUGAUGGAGAUCAUGAUGAUGGAGAUCAUGGUGUGGCGCCGGUGACAAGAAGAUCAUGCCGGUGCUUUAGUGAUGGAGAUCAAGAAGCACAUGAUGAUGGCCAUAUCAUGUCACUUAUGAAUUGCAUGUGAUGUUAAUCCUUUUAUGUACCUUAUUUUGCUUAGAACGACGGUAGCAUUAUGAGG
rnacentral:lncRNA from 1 species